rnacentral:rRNA from 1 species
GGAUCAAUACGUCGGUCGUGCUUUCGGGUACGUACUGGCGUCAUUGGUUUCUCCUUUCUGACGAACCAUGAUGUCAUUAAUUUGGUGUUAUGGGGAGUUAGGACUGUUACUUUGAAAAAUUAGAGUGUUUAAAGCAGGCAUUAGCUUGAAUACAUUAGCAUGGAAUAAUGAAAUAGGACGUUCGAUCCUAUUUUGUUGGUUUCUAGGAUCAACGUAAUGAUU